rnacentral:lncRNA from 1 species
AGAUGUUGAGGCUUCCACACUUCUGGCCAGGCAUUCCCUUCAUCUAAACCAUUUUGUACUGCCUCUUCUGGGACCUUGCUCUACUAAGCAGUCCUCUUCCCAUUGCAUUCAGUUGCUUACUCUCUACUGUUUCCUUCUUCCUGUAGUUUAUAAAUAUGCCAUAAACCCUACCUUGAAAUUAAAUCUCCCUAUAGCAGCUACCACCUAAUCUCUAUCUCAUCCACAGAAGAGAAGCAGGCUCACUACUAAACCCACUAUAAUCUCACAUCUAUCAUUCUACUACAGACUGUUCUUACUA